rnacentral:rRNA from 1 species
GAUGAACGCUGGCGGCGUGCCUAAUACAUGCAAGUCGAGCGAACGGACGAGAAGCUUGCUCUUCUGAUGUUAGCGGCGGACGGGCGAGUAACACGUGCAUAACCUACCUAUAAGACUGGGAUAAUUUCGGGAAACCGGAGCUACUACUGGAUCAUAUUUUGUACCGCAUGGUUCAAAAGUGAAUGACGGUCUUGCUGUCACUUAUAGAUGGAUCCGCGCUGCAUUAGCUAGUUGGUAAGGUAACGGCUUACCAAGGCAACGGUGCAUAGCCGACCUGAGAGGGUGAUCGGCCACACUGGAACUGAGACACGGUCCAGACUCCUACGGGAGGCAGCAGUAGGGAAUCUUCCGCAAUGGGCGAAAGCCUGACGGAGCAACGCCGCGUGAGUGAUGAAGGUCUUCGGAUCGUAAAACUCUGUUAUUGGGGAAGAACAUAUGUGUAAGUAACUGUGCACAUCUUGACGGUACCUAAUCAGAAAGCCACGGCUAACUACGUG